rnacentral:rRNA from 1 species
AGCAUAUCAAUAAGCGGAGGAAAAGAAACCAACAGGGAUUGCCCCAGUAACGGCGAGUGAAGCGGCAACAGCUCAAAUUUGAAAUCUGGCUUCGGCCCGAGUUGUAAUUUGUAGAGGAUGCUUUUGGUGAGGUGCCUUCUGAGUUCCCUGGAACGGGACGCCAGAGAGGGUGAGAGCCCCGUAUAGUUGGACACCGAGCCUCUGUAAAGCUCCUUCGACGAGUCGAGUAGUUUGGGAAUGCUGCUCAAAAUGGGAGGUAUAUCUCUUCUAAAGCUAAAUACUGGCCAGAGACCGAUAGCGCACAAGUAGAGUGAUCGAAAGAUGAAAAGCACUUUGAAAAGAGGGUUAAAUAGUACGUGAAAUUGUUGAAAGGGAAGCGCUUGUGACCAGACUUGUGCCGGGCUGAUCAUCCAGUGUUCUCACUGGUGCACUCUGCCCGGCUCAGGCCAGCGUCGGUUCUCGCGGGGGGAUAAAGGCGGCGGGAACGUGGCUCCUCCGGGAGUGUUAUAGCCCGCCGCGCAAUACCCUCGCGGGGACCGAGGUUCGCGCUCUGCAAGGACGCUGGCGUAAUGGUCAUCAGCGGCCCGUCUUGAAACACGGACCAAGGAGUCGAGGUUUUGCGCGAGUGUUUGGGUGUCAAACCCGCACGCGUAAUGAAAGUGAACGUAGGUGAGAGCUUCGGCGCAUCAUCGACCGAUCCUGAUGUAUUCGGAUGGAUUUGAGUAAGAGCGUAAAGCCUCGGACCCGAAAGAUGGUGAACUAUGCCUGAAUAGGGUGAAGCCAGAGGAAACUCUGGUGGAGGCUCGCAGCGGUUCUGACGUGCAAAUCGAUCGUCAAAUUUGGGCAUGGGGGCGAAAGACUAAUCGAACCAUCUAGUAGCUGGUUACCGCCGAAGUUUCCCUCAGGAUAGCAGUGUUGUUCUUCAGUUUUAUGAGGUAAAGCGAAUGAUUAGGGACUCGGGGGCGCUAUUUAGCCUUCAUCCAUUCUCAAACUUUAAAUAUGUAAGAAGCCCUUGUUACUUAAUUGAACGUGGGCAUUCGAAUGUACCAACACUAGUGGGCCAUUUUUGGUAAGCAGAACUGGCGAUGCGGGAUGAACCGAACGCGGGGUUAAGGUGCCAGAGUGGACGCUCAUCAGACACCACAAAAGGCGUUAGUACAUCUUGACAGCAGGACGGUGGCCAUGGAAGUCGGAAUCCGCUAAGGACUGUGUAACAACUCACCUGCCGAAUGUACUAGCCCUGAAAAUGGAUGGCGCUCAAGCGUCCCACCCAUACCCCGCCCUCAGGGUAGAAACGAUGCCCUGAGGAGUAGGCGGCCGUGGAGGUCAGUGACGAAGCCUAGGG